rnacentral:rRNA from 1 species
AGAGUUUGAUCCUGGCUCAGGACGAACGCUGGCGGCGUGCUUAACACAUGCAAGUCGAACGGUAAGGCUCCAGCUUGCUGGGGUACACGAGUGGCGAACGGGUGAGUAACACGUGGGUGACCUGCCCUGCACUUCGGGAUAAGCCUGGGAAACUGGGUCUAAUACCGGAUAGGACCAUGGUGUGGAUGCUGUGGUGGAAAGUUUUUUCGGUGUGGGAUGGGCCCGCGGCCUAUCAGCUUGUUGGUGGGGUAAUGGCCUACCAAGGCGGCGACGGGUAGCCGGCCUGAGAGGGUGGACGGCCACAUUGGGACUGAGACACGGCCCAGACUCCUACGGGAGGCAGCAGUGGGGAAUAUUGCACAAUGGGCGGAAGCCUGAUGCAGCGACGCCGCGUGGGGGAUGACGGCCUUCGGGUUGUAAACUCCUUUCACCAUCGACGAAGGGUUUCUGACGGUAGAUGGAGAAGAAGCACCGGCUAACUACGUG